CUUGCACCUUUCAAGUGAGUGGCGAACGGGUGAGUAACACGUGGACAACCUGCCUCAAGGCUGGGGAUAACAUUUGGAAACAGAUGCUAAUACCGAAUAAAACUUAGUGUCGCAUGACAAAAAGUUAAAAGGCGCUUCGGCGUCACCUAGAGAUGGAUCCGCGGUGCAUUAGUUAGUUGGUGGGGUAAAGGCCUACCAAGACAAUGAUGCAUAGCCGAGUUGAGAGACUGAUCGGCCACAUUGGGACUGAGACACGGCCCAAACUCCUACGGGAGGCUGCAGUAGGGAAUCUUCCACAAUGGGCGAAAGCCUGAUGGAGCAACGCCGCGUGUGUGAUGAAGGCUUUCGGGUCGUAAAGCACUGUUGUAUGGGAAGAACAGCUAGAAUAGGAAAUGAUUUUAGUUUGACGGUACCAUACCAGAAAGGGACGGCUAAAUACGUGCCAGCAGCCGCGGUAAUACGUAUGUCCCGAGCGUUAUCCGGAUUUAUUGGGCGUAAAGCGAGCGCAGACGGUUUAUUAAGUCUGAUGUGAAAGCCCGGAGCUCAACUCCGGAAUGGCAUUGGAAACUGGUUAACUUGAGUGCAGUAGAGGUAAGUGGAACUCCAUGUGUAGCGGUGGAAUGCGUAGAUAUAUGGAAGAACACCAGUGGCGAAGGCGGCUUACUGGACUGCAACUGACGUUGAGGCUCGAAAGUGUGGGUAGCAAACAGGAUUAGAUACCCUGGUAGUCCACACCGUAAACGAUGAACACUAGGUGUUAGGAGGUUUCCGCCUCUUAGUGCCGAAGCUAACGCAUUAAGUGUUCCGCCUGGGGAGUACGACCGCAAGG
rnacentral:rRNA from 1 species